CUUGCUGGGUUGGAUGAGUGGCGAACGGGUGAGUAACACGUGAGUAACCUGCCCUCUUCUUUGGGAUAACGGUCGGAAACGGCUGCUAAUACCGGGUAUUCACUGUCCUUCGCAUGGGGGGUGGUGGAAAGGUUUUUUCUGGUGGGGGAUGGGCUCGCGGCCUAUCAGCUUGUUGGUGGGGUGAUGGCUUACCAAGGCUUUGACGGGUAACCGGCCUGAGAGGGUGACCGGUCACAUUGGGACUGGGAUACGGCCCAG
rnacentral:rRNA from 1 species